AUGGCCACCAUCAGACCCCUCAUGAAGCCCAAGAUCAUCAAAAAGAGGAGCAAGAAGUUCAUUCACCACCAGUCAGAACAAUAUGUCAAAAUUAAGCAUAACCGGUGGAAACCCAGAGACAACUGCGUUCAUAGAAGAUUCAAGGGCCAGAUCUUGAUGCCCAACAUUGGUUAUAGAGAAGCAAUGAAAACACAAAGCACAUGCUGCCCAGCGGCUUCUGGAAGUUUCUGGUACGCAUUGUCAAGGACUUGGAAGGGCUGCUGACAUGCAGAAAAUCUUACUGUCCUGAGAUAGCUCACAAUGUGUCCUCUGGAACUGCAAAGCCAUCAUGGAAAGGGCAGCCCAGCUGGCCAUCAGAGUCACCAGUCGCAAUGCCAGGCAGCACAGCAAAGAAAGGGAAUAG
rnacentral:lncRNA from 1 species